AGAGUUUGAUCCUGGCUCAGGAUGAACGCUAGCGGCAGGCCUAAUACAUGCAAGACGGGCGGUAAUUUGAGUAGCAAUACUUGAACUAGAGCGUCGUAAGGGUGCGUAACACGUAUGCAAUCUGCCCGGAACUGGGGUAUAGCUCGGGGAAACUCGGAUUAACCCCCCAUAAGAUAGUAGAGUGGCAUCACUCAGCUAUUAAAACUCUGGUGGUUCCGGAUGAGCAUGCGGAUGAUUAGCUAGUUGGUGGUGUAACGGACCACCAAGGCGAUGAUCAAUAGGGGAACUGAGAGGUUGAUCCCCCACACUGGCACUGGAUACGGGCCAGACUCCUACGGGAGGCAGCAGUAGGGAAUAUUGGACAAUGGGUGCAAGCCUGAUCCAGCCAUGCCGCGUGCAGGAAGAAGGCUUUCUGAGUUGUAAACUGCUUUUGCCAGGGGAUAAAAAGUCCCUGCGGGGAAAAUUGAAGGUACCUGGUGAAUAAGCCACGGCUAACUACGUGCCAGCAGCCGCGGUAAUACGUAGGUGGCAAGCGUUGUCCGGAUUUAUUGGGUUUAAAGGGUGCGUAGGCGGUCUUCUAAGUCAGUUGUGAAAUACUUCAGCUUAACUGGAGAGGUGCAAUUGAUACUGGAAGACUUGAGUACUGAUGAGGUAGGCGGAAUGGACGGUGUAGCGGUGAAAUGCUUAGAUAUCGUCCAGAACACCGAUAGCGAAGGCAGCUCACUAAGGAGUAACUGACGCUGAGGCACGAAAGCGUGGGGAGCGAACCGGAUUAGAUACCCGGGUAGUCCACGCCGUAAACGAUGGAUACUAGCUGUUGGAGGUAUCGACCCCUUCAGUAGCGAAGCUAACGCGUUAAGUAUCCCGCCUGUGGAGUACGGUCGCAAGACUAAAACAUAAAGGAAUUGACGGGGAGCCGCACAAGCGGUGGAUUAUGUUCUUUAAUUCGAUGAUAACCGAUGAACCUUACCAGGGUUUGACAUCCUUGGAAUUUUGCCGAAAGGCGAGAGUGCUUUAUUGAGCCAAGUGACAGAUGAUGCAUGGCCGUCGUCAGCUCGUGUCGUGAGAUGUUUGGUUAAGUCCAUUAACGAGCGCAACCCUUGUGAUUAGUUGUAUUUUUCUAAUCAGACUGCCCUGGCAACGGGGAGGAAGGAGGGGAUGAGGUCAGGUCAGUAUUUCUCUUACACCCUGGGCUAGAAACAUAAUACAAUGGCCAGUACAAUGCGCAGCGAAGCCGCGAGGUGGAGCAAAUCGCAUCAAAGCUGGUCCCAGUUCGGAUUGGAGGCUGAAACUCGCCUCCAUGAAGUUGGAAUCGCUAGUAAUCGCAGAUCAGCAAGCUGCGGUGAAUACGUUCCCGGCUCUUGUACACACCGCCCGUCAAACCAUGAAAGUCACCAACACCCGAAGUCCGAUUCGUCGGCCUAAGGUGGGGGGGAUGAUUGGGGUUAAGUCGUAACAAGGUA
rnacentral:rRNA from 1 species